GGCUGCACUGCAGAACCUCUCUCGAGCAGGGACGCCUCUCAAGGUUCCUCCUCGAGGUUGAGCGAUUCCUUACCCACCACAGAUCCUCGGGAAGGGAUUAAUAGCAUGCUGAACUUUUGUGAACUUCCCGAAACUUUGCUGAGUCAUAUCACUGAUUAAUUGUGCACCUAAUCCCUUAGGCAUAAACUGUUGACCACGCCUGGGACUAGGACUGGAUCCAGCCACACCCAGGCUCCUCUCCGAAGGAGUUUGGAAAGCGAGGGGGGUCCUUUCCGAACCUCGUGCCUCGACGGGAGGGUCUCCUUGACACUUAGCUGACCCUGUCCUCUACGCAGUAAAUAACCGAGYGAACCUUGGCAUCGAACCUCGUUAAAUCGUUGUCUUAUUCACGACUGAACUUUGUGAAAUCACUAUCUUACCGCAAUAAAACAUAGUGACGUGCAUUACUCCCCACUCAUCCGUGACAUCCACAUAUUGACCCAUCYGUCUGUCCACCCACCCAUCCGUCUAUCCCUCCAUCUGUCCACUCAUCCAUCCAGCCACCCAUCCAUCCCUCCGCCCAUCUGUCCAUCCAUCCUUCUGUUGUCUCUCUCCCUCUCUUUGUAUCRAUCUACCCGUGCGGGAGGUUAAGGUGGUCUUCCUGGCUGUCCAGCCACCUUCCCCGGCUUUGGGGUUAUGGUUCGGGACCUAUGUGGAGGCAUCUUCAUUAGCAGACGAUGCUCGUUCAGACACCCUGGGGUGCCUGACAGGGAUGCACGGGCACCAAGGCCUGGGUCUUCUCCAGGGCAAGGAGAACAUCUCCAUCCAAUCCUCAACAUCUCCAUCCAACCCCCAAUGUCUCCAUCCAACCCUCCAUGUCUCCACCCAACCCUCAAUGUCUCUGUCCAACCCUCCAUGUCUCCAUCCAACCCCCAACAUCUCCAUCCAACCCUCUGUGUCUCCAUCCAACCCCCAACAUCUCCAUCCAACUCUCCAUGUCCCCAUCUGACCCCUAAUAUCUCCAUCCAUCCCCCAAUGUCUUCAUCCAACCCUCAACGUCUCCAUCCAACCCUCCAUGUCUCCAUCCAACCCCCAUCAUCUCCAUCCUUGCUCCUUUCGAGGCGAAAAGGGGGAAAUCAGCAUUCCUUGCCUUCGCUUCAUCGCAGCUCCCGCCAGAAACACCCAUCUACAAAAAUCCGCUUGUUUUUUUCCCUCCACUUUAUUUGAAAUCCUGCCUUAUUUUUGGCCCUUUCCAGGAGGGAACCACUUGACCACCUGGAUCGGCACCCUCUGCCCCCAUCCCCGCGCCAACGCCUUGCAUGAACGCGCCCUCAUUAGUCACCGCUAAAGAAACAAACUCUUUUGUUACGAUAAAGCCCCGGCCGGGGUGUGAACGACGCUGGCAAGCGUCCUCUUGCCACGAUARUUAGCUGUUAACUAAAAAGACGAGAAAUGCAACGCGUUGAGYGUGGCCUUGAGCCCGCGCGUGUCACCUUUCCCUCCGAUCCUCCGCCCCGGCUGCACCAUAAAACCAUCACGGGACCGAAUGUUGUUGUUUUUUUCGGUGGCAGCUGCCAGAAAAACCAGCCCAGSGCGGACGGGGAAGGCGAAAGGCGCCGGGUUCUGCCCUUUGCCCGAGCCGGGAAGGUUUCGCAACACGAGGGGUCAUCGUCUUACCGGCUCCGACGCGGGGCUUUGUUUCGCUGCCGUUGGCGGGGGAAUCCCGGAGCGGAGCGGGGAACGUCGGCCCUGAGGAAGAGGAGACGGGGCGAGGCGGCCGGCUGUGUGUCCRUCCGUCCCUGCUGCUGGGAUCAUAUCCGAACCGCCCCGGUUUGGCCUCCCCGUUUCGGGUUCGGGCUGCGACGGGGAAGGGGAUCAAGGGUGCUGCAAGCGUCCGGAAUGCCCCGAGGAUCCCGAAUCACUGGGGAAACCUCGGGCGAUACAAUCCUUCGGCCUCAAAAGGCGCGAUAAAUCCCUCCGGAAUUGGUAACUCCCCCCCAAAAAGGCAGGAUAAAACCCUCCAGUAAACAGAAAUCUUC
rnacentral:lncRNA from 1 species